GGGAGGCAGCAGUGAGGAAUAUUGGACAAUGGGCGCAAGCCUGAUCCAGCCAUGCCGCGUGCAGGAAGACGGCCCUAUGGGUUGUAAACUGCUUUUAUACAGGAAGAAACACUCGGACGUGUCCUAGCUUGACGGUACUGUAAGAAUAAGGAUCGGCUAACUCCGUGCCAGCAGCCGCGGUAAUACGGAGGAUCCAAGCGUUAUCCGGAAUCAUUGGGUUUAAAGGGUCCGUAGGUGGACAAUUAAGUCAGAGGUGAAAGUUUGCAGCUCAACUGUAAAAUUGCCUUUGAUACUGGUUGUCUUGAAUUAUUGUGAAGUGGUUAGAAUAUGUAGUGUAGCGGUGAAAUGCAUAGAUAUUACAUAGAAUACCAAUUGCGAAGGCAGAUCACUAACAAUAUAUUGACACUGAUGGACGAAAGCGUGGGGAGCGAACAGGAUUAGAUACCCUGGUAGUCCACGCCGUAAACGAUGGUCACUAGCUGUUCGGAUUUCGGUCUGAGUGGCUAAGAUAAAUUGAUAAGUGACCCACCUGGGGAGUACGUUCGCAAGAAUGAAACUCAAA
rnacentral:rRNA from 1 species